CAGCAGCCACGGUAAUACGGAGGGGGCUAGCGUUGUUCGGAAUUACUGGGCGUAAAGCGUACGUAGGCGGUUUUGUAAGUUAGAGGUGAAAGCCCGGAGCUCAACUCCGGAAUUGCCUUUAAGACUGCAUCACUUGAACGUCGGAGAGGUGAGUGGAAUUCCGAGUGUAGAGGUGAAAUUCGUAGAUAUUCGGAAGAACACCAGUGGCGAAGGCGGCUCACUGGCUCAUUCUAGACGCUGAGGUGCGAAAGCGUGGGGAGCAAACAGGAUUAGAUACCCGCGUAGUCCCUGUCUCUUAUAC
rnacentral:rRNA from 1 species